rnacentral:tRNA from 1 species
UCCGGUGUAGCUCAGCGGUAGAGUAGGUGGCUGUUAACCACUUGGUCACUGGUUCGAAUCCAGUCACCGGAGCCA